CGCCUCCCCCGUGCUGUGAUUGGACAGCGGUUUAAGCGUCGGGAUUGGCUGGUCUUUCUUUCACACUAAUAUGUAUAGCUGAGCCAGGCUUUGACAUUUGCUUGUCAGAGCAGACAGCCAAUCGUAUAGCUCAGAAAACCGAGAAGAAUAACCAAUCAGAAAAAGGCAAAGGAUAGAGCGAGAAAAAUGAAAAACGAAAACAGGUGGGAAACGAAAAAACCGUAUCCUCCACAGUGACGUCAGAACUGAAGAGCGAGCGCGAGCAGCAUCCCCGUUCGUUAAAUAAACGCUAAGCUAAAAAUCCUGCACCAAGGUUUUCUUCUGUACAAAGAUACAGAAGAAGAAAAAAUUAGCCCCUCAAGCCCCACAGAUUCGCAGUAAGGAGCAUUGUGUUCACUAGCUGGUCACUAAAUCAACGCGUUUGACCGAUUUAGAGCGAAAGAGCGACUGAGAGGAAGAGAGGAAUCACGACAAGGUGUUCCAGAAAGGAGUUCCCUCCCAUCCUGUAGUAAAUCCGGACCCCCGAAGAAUCUUCAAGAACCGGAGCUAAAUGGCCGCCAUUUCCUUAGGAAUCCCCAAGGAUAACCAGAUGCACCUGUAGCAAGGUUCUUACACCACAAUCUGGGGAGGAGGCGGUGGGACAGACAGCUCCCUCCAAUAAAUUAAAAUCAGCCUAAGGGUCAUAGUGGGUUCAGAGCCUACCUGCUAUCAUUAGGAGCAAGACAGCAGCAAUAGCUUCCGGAGAGUGCGCCAAUCCACUGCAGCCUUGAAAACUAUGAAGGACAACUAAAGAGCACAAACACAAAAUUCUUUCCUUGGGAGAAAAAAGGAGCUCUUUGCUGUGGAACAAAAUGUUCUGGGCAGAUGAAACCAAGAAUCAUUUGUGUACAAAUGGAAAAAGACCAAAACAUACUGCAAAAGCAUCCAAACAGCAUCUAAAAAAACUAAUGGAAUAUUCUUACCUGACCUCAACCCAUACAGAGCAUGUUUUUCACUGAUGUCUCUACUGAGGACAAAAAUGAAAUAACUGAAGGCCACAAUAAAAGCCUGACAAAGUAUCUUAAA